rnacentral:rRNA from 1 species
CCUACGGGACGCAGCAGUGGGGAAUAUUGGACAAUGGGGGCAACCCUGAUCCAGCAAUGCCGCGUGUGCCAAGAAGGCCAUCGGGUUGUAAAGCACAAUUAUCGGGUACGAAACAUUGUCGCCCAAUACCCGGCAAGACUGACGGUACCCGAGGAAUAAGCACCGGCUAACUGCGUGCCAGCAGCCGCGGAAAU